AGCGUACACGGUGGAUGCCCUGGCAGUCAGAGGCGAUGAAGGACGUGCUAAUCUGCGAAAAGCGCCGGCGAGGUGAUAUGAACCUUUGACCCGGCGAUGUCCGAAUGGGGAAACCCAGUGCAAUUCGUUGCACUAUCGUUAACUGAAUACAUAGGUUAACGAGGCGAACCGGGGGAACUGAAACAUCUAAGUACCCCGAGGAAAAGAAAUCAACCGAGAUUCCCCCAGUAGCGGCGAGCGAACGGGGAGCAGCCCAGAGUCUGAAUCAGCUUGUGUGUUAGUGGAAGCGUCUGGAAAGUCGCACGGUACAGGGUGACAGUCCCGUACACGAAAGCACACAGGUUGUGAACUCGAAGAGUAGGGCGGGACACGUGGUAUCCUGUCUGAAUAUGGGGGGACCAUCCUCCAAGGCUAAAUACUCCUGACUGACCGAUAGUGAACCAGUACCGUGAGGGAAAGGCGAAAAGAACCCCGGCGAGGGGAGUGAAAAAGAACCUGAAACCGUGUACGUACAAGCAGUGGGAGCACCUUCGUGGUGUGACUGCGUACCUUUUGUAUAAUGGGUCAGCGACUUAUAUUCUGUAGCAAGGUUAACCGUAUAGGGGAGCCGAAGGGAAACCGAGUCUUAACUGGGCGUUAAGUUGCAGGGUAUAGACCCGAAACCCGGUGAUCUAGCCAUGGGCAGGUUGAAGGUUGGGUAACACUAACUGGAGGACCGAACCGACUAAUGUUGAAAAAUUAGCGGAUGACUUGUGGCUGGGGGUGAAAGGCCAAUCAAACCGGGAGAUAGCUGGUUCUCCCCGAAAGCUAUUUAGGUAGCGCCUCGUGAACUCAUCUUCGGGGGUAGAGCACUGUUUCGGCUAGGGGGCCAUCCCGGCUUACCAACCCGAUGCAAACUACGAAUACCGAAGAAUGUUAUCACGGGAGACACACGGCGGGUGCUAACGUCCGUCGUGAAGAGGGAAACAACCCAGACCGCCAGCUAAGGUCCCAAAGUCAUGGUUAAGUGGGAAACGAUGUGGGAAGGCACAGACAGCCAGGAUGUUGGCUUAGAAGCAGCCAUCAUUUAAAGAAAGCGUAAUAGCUCACUGGUCGAGUCGGCCUGCGCGGAAGAUGUAACGGGGCUAAACCAUGCACCGAAGCUGCGGCAGCGACGCGUAUGCGUUGUUGGGUAGGGGAGCGUUCUGUAAGCCGUUGAAGGUGUGCUGUGAGGCAUGCUGGAGGUAUCAGAAGUGCGAAUGCUGACAUAAGUAACGAUAAAGCGGGUGAAAAGCCCGCUCGCCGGAAGACCAAGGGUUCCUGUCCAACGUUAAUCGGGGCAGGGUGAGUCGACCCCUAAGGCGAGGCCGAAAGGCGUAGUCGAUGGGAAACAGGUUAAUAUUCCUGUACUUGGUGUUACUGCGAAGGGGGGACGGAGAAGGCUAUGUUAGCCGGGCGACGGUUGUCCCGGUUUAAGCAUGUAGGCGGAGGUUCCAGGUAAAUCCGGUACCUUUUAACGCUGAGGUGUGAUGACGAGGCACUACGGUGCUGAAGUAACAAAUGCCCUGCUUCCAGGAAAAGCCUCUAAGCAUCAGGUAACACGAAAUCGUACCCCAAACCGACACAGGUGGUCAGGUAGAGAAUACCAAGGCGCUUGAGAGAACUCGGGUGAAGGAACUAGGCAAAAUGGUGCCGUAACUUCGGGAGAAGGCACGCUGAUAUGUAGGUGAAGCCCCUGCGGGUGGAGCUGAAAUCAGUCGAAGAUACCAGCUGGCUGCAACUGUUUAUUAAAAACACAGCACUGUGCAAACACGAAAGUGGACGUAUACGGUGUGACGCCUGCCCGGUGCCGGAAGGUUAAUUGAUGGGGUUAGCGGCAACGCGAAGCUCUUGAUCGAAGCCCCGGUAAACGGCGGCCGUAACUAUAACGGUCCUAAGGUAGCGAAAUUCCUUGUCGGGUAAGUUCCGACCUGCACGAAUGGCGUAAUGAUGGCCAGGCUGUCUCCACCCGAGACUCAGUGAAAUUGAACUCGCUGUGAAGAUGCAGUGUACCCGCGGCAAGACGGAAAGACCCCGUGAACCUUUACUAUAGCUUGACACUGAACACUGGUCCUUGAUGUGUAGGAUAGGUGGGAGGCUUUGAAGCGUGGACGCCAGUCUGCGUGGAGCCGUCCUUGAAAUACCACCCUUUAAUGGCUGGUGUUCUAACGUAGACCCGUGAUCCGGGUUGCGGACAGUGUCUGGUGGGUAGUUUGACUGGGGCGGUCUCCUCCCAAAGAGUAACGGAGGAGCACGAAGGUUAGCUAAUCCUGGUCGGACAUCAGGAGGUUAGUGCAAUGGCAUAAGCUAGCUUGACUGCGAGAGUGACGGCUCGAGCAGGUGCGAAAGCAGGUCAUAGUGAUCCGGUGGUUCUGAAUGGAAGGGCCAUCGCUCAACGGAUAAAAGGUACUCCGGGGAUAACAGGCUGAUACCGCCCAAGAGUUCAUAUCGACGGCGGUGUUUGGCACCUCGAUGUCGGCUCAUCACAUCCUGGGGCUGAAGUAGGUCCCAAGGGUAUGGCUGUUCGCCAUUUAAAGUGGUACGCGAGCUGGGUUUAGAACGUCGUGAGACAGUUCGGUCCCUAUCUGCCGUGGGCGCUGGAGAAUUGAGGGGGGCUGCUCCUAGUACGAGAGGACCGGAGUGGACGCAUCACUGGUGUUCGGGUUGUCAUGCCAAUGGCACUGCCCGGUAGCUAAAUGCGGAAAAGAUAAGUGCUGAAAGCAUCUAAGCACGAAACUUGCCCCGAGAUGAGUUCU
rnacentral:rRNA from 1 species